CCAGGAGAAAGCUCCUUCCUCUCAGGAUCCUGAUCCUGCACAUCCACACUCCAGAAUCAGAAGGCCGGGGAGCGAUCAGCACGUCUUAAAGUGUGAUUCCUUGUUGAACGAAUUCACCCUGAGGCAAAAGAAAGAAAUCCCAGCAGGGUACACGGAGAAUGUCAGAUUUCAUCCUAAGUCAAUGAUGUGGAACUGGGAGAAGUGAUGGCAGCUCCCUAUCAAGGGGACUUUCACCCUAAGUCUGGAAUGUGGAUAGCAAACCAACAAUGUCCCAUUUUACUGGGAACCUGGGGAAAUCCUGCCUUUGAGAUCUCUCUGAAUCAGGAAGAUAAAAAUUGAUUCCAAUUCCCUGAAAUCCAAGGGAUGCACUGGGCCACCCUGACGUGUUGUUUUUGGUUUUGAGACCUGUGUCUCCAAGGGGCUGAAUUGUACCUCCUUCCCCGCAAAAUGGACAUAUUGGAGUACUAACCCUCAGUGCUACAGAAUGUGACCUGAUUUGGAGACAGGGUCUUUAUAGAGACACACAACUUGAGCCUGCUUCCAAGCCUUUCUUGGAGUUAACUGUGGCCAAGUUACUGAAUUCAGCUGAUGGCAAGUGGGCAGAAGUACCAGGAACCACCUCCAUUUCUGUCCCACAGAAUCUUCGCAUGUGGAAUCCUGCCUGCCUUUUCCUUCUUAAUGCUGAUAAACAUCUUGACGACAGCAGAACCCGAACAUGGGAGAUAUUUGGGUUUCUGAACUGCUAUGGGGAAGCCAAGCUUGGUGCCUACAAUUUGAGAAAGACAGUUAUUGUAUUAAGCUACUAAGAUUAGAAAAGUUUGCAUGAGCAAGCAUUACCCCAACACAUCCAAUAUGAUUUUGGCUCAGAAGUGGGAAAGAUUUUCAAUCCUUCUUUUGCCCACUUGUGCCUCAUCGGUAAGAGAGGCUGCAGCUCACUGUGGUUUCAUGCAUCUGUGCUUUGGAUUGGGACCUGAGGUUGCCUCUUAAGGAGAGCUGAGUAUUUGAGCUGAUGGUCUGUGUGCUGCUGGGGCUUGCAUUGAUAGAGAGGGCUGCCAUCUUUGGUGUCAGCUAAAUGAAUGGACCCAGCGCUCCAAUGCAGUGGACCUCACACACUUGUGGGGAGUGUAUCACACACGUCUAGGGCCCCACUCACAUUCCCUUAUCCUCCCGUUCAGUUUUAGCUACAGCUGCAGUGGAAAGUUUCUGAGUUGGCUUCUAUCUACCUUGGUCUGACAACAACUUACCUUAAGCACCCACAGUGAUGUGGGUGCUUUGUAUUUCUCUUACACUCCUGAUGUUGGUACGAACUCACUCAUCAAGCAAGUGUGACCAGCCUGGAGGUGGGAAUCCACUCAACCAGCAGAUUUGGAAGCCGAUGGUUGUAACUUACAGGCUGAUCUUAGGUGGACUAUUCUGAGAGCCCCAGACACUCACAGCAGUGAACUCAAUUAUGCAUCCAAUGUGGGUUUCUUCCCCUUCCCUCACUCCCUCUGGCUGCCCACUGCUGAUUCCUGAGAUUUUAUUGCAAAUAAGCUACCCAGACCCCAGGUUCUUCUUUAGGGACAUACAAGUCAAUACAGGCAGUGAUAGGAUGCCCCUACUGUAGCCUCAUAUCCAAGCCAUGUCUCAAUUUCAACUUUGUCUUGUACUUU